UUGGAGGGCAAGUCUGGUGCCAGCAGCCGCGGUAAUUCCAGCUCCAAUAGCGUAUAUUAAAGUUGUUGCAGUUAAAAAGCUCGUAGUUGAAUUUCGGGAUUAGUACGCUGGUCGUGCCUUCGGUACGUACUGGUGUUACUGAUUCCUACCUUCUGACGAACCAUCAUGUCAUUUAUUUGGUGUGGUGGGGAAUCAGGACUGUUACUUUGAAAAAAUUAGAGUGUUUAAAGCAGGCUCGCGCUUGAAUACAUUAGCAUGGAAUAAUGAAAUAGGACGUUAAUCCUAUUUUGUUGGUUUCUAGGAUUGACGUAAUGAUUAAUAGGGAUAGUUGGGGGCAUUAGUAUUCAAUUGUCAGAGGUGAAAUUCUUGGAUUUAUUGAAGACUAACUACUGCGAAAGCAUUUGCCAAGGAUGUUUUCAUUAACCAAGAACGAAAGUUAGGGGAUCGAAGACGAUCAGAUACCGUCGUAGUCUUAACCAUAAACUAUGCCGACUAGGGAUCGGAUGAUGUUAAUUUUUUAAUGACUCAUUCGGCGCCUUACGGGAAAC
rnacentral:rRNA from 1 species